rnacentral:lncRNA from 1 species
UAGCGACGUGGUCCCAACACGGCCGAGGAGGCGGGGGUGGGGGGGACCUCAAAGCAGGGGCAGGGUGGGGCUGGGAAACAGCUAGGUCCCCCUGCAACUUGGGUCACACGCUCAGAAGUGUCUGAAGAUGGAGAGCUGAGAUCUCGGCCACUAGGAAGCCCUUUGUGGACGGUCGUCCUGGAAUGGCAGGCACCAGACCUGUGGUCGAGGGAGAAACUUCCUGGCGAUUUGGGCCUGCCAGCAAUCAUUGUGAGCCGAGUUCCAUACAGAGUCUCCAGCUGGCCUUCGUGGAGCAAGGGACUGGGCAAGCCUGCCCGGUUGUACGGUCACCCUUUGGAGGGUACUCUUUGCUGCUAAUGAUCCAUGAAGAGGGGGUUGCUGAUGCCUGAAGGGGAUCUUGGACAAAGGAGCUACACUCUGCUCUGGAUAACUCUUUGCUGGCCUUUCCCUAAACUAAAUAAACAUUGAAUACUAAUUAGUGUGUAAGCGGCUCUUUGUGAAGGGUUUAAAAGUAGACCCAAAGCCA